GAAACUGAAAUAUUUCUUUUUGUCACCAUUUCGCAUGAUUAAAGGGGAGUGCACACCAUUUUUCUCAUGGAAGUUUGACUAUCCUUAAGGAAUUGGUGGAGCAUUAAUUAGGGAAAAGUAGUUUUCAAUGUCCAAAUUUCUCAUUGUUCGGUUGCAGGUAGUAGGAAAUGGAGAAAGAAAUGUUGUGGACACCACUGAAUAGGUAAGUCAUUCAAUUAAGUUGUUUGAGAGGUAGAUGUGAAUUUUACUUCUAAUUUUUGAUAGUUUGCUUUGGUUUCUUUUACCCUUACGCUAUUACCAUUGGUUUUCCUCUUAAAUAUAUCUAUUUGUCUAAAAAAAUAAAAAUAAAAAAUAAAAUAGAAUUUGACCUUAUUUCCCAAAAGUAUAGAAAUUAUUAUGAAAUCAACUGAUGAAGAAUUGAAAAAUCUAUGGACACCAUCGAACAUAAUUCCCGAAGUUGUGAAUGGGAAAGCUAUGGACGCCAUUGAAAUCAAGUGCUAUAUUGACUUUUAUAUGGCAUCGAUCAUUACUUUAUUGUUUUAGCUUUGAGUACAACUCGAUAAAUGAUUCUAUUCUCUACUCUCUUUUGGGCACAAUUUGAGGAAAAUUUUGCUUUAGAGUUUUGUGUCUUGAAAAUAUAGAAGGAUAAAAUUCAGCUUCAAAAGUUUACAUGUUCUUGGUUAAAUCAAUGUGCCUCUGUGUCUAUUUCUUUUAGGUGUGAACCGAAUACUCUUUUGAUGGUGAGAUUUGAUUUCAAGUUCUAGGAAUUCAUGUUAAUUCGAGUUCUCUCAUAAUUUUAUUUGAAUCACUUCUAGGCAUGAUUAAGUGGUAGAGGUCUGGCCUUGAAUACUUUUCGAGGGUAUGCUUCCACUUCUAUUUUUUAAAAAUUGGGUGUACUAUCUGCUCUAAUAAGAUGCUAUUUGCGUUGGAAGCUAAUAUGUCUGUUGCUUUCUUACAAAGCUUUGGUUUGACUCUGAUAGGAUGAAAUUUCACGGAUGGAAGGCUGGAGUUAUUUUACCGUUGAAAGCAGCUUUGUAGGAGUCUUGAAGAUAGACAAAGCUUCAUAGUGAAUGUAGUUGUUUAUUAAAAAAAAUAUAACUAUUAUUAUGCAGUUGGGAAUCUACAACUUAUGGAUUCAACUAUACUGUGGAGUACAAUUGGUUAGUUCUCUAUGUUGAUGAUGUUAUAGGUAUGUUUGUUAGUUCUUUAUGUUGUGUUACUCUAAUGGGUGGAUGAUUUAUAUGGUUGACCAAUUUUUAUUUUUCUUCUUCUAUUCUUAAACAGAAAUACUAAAGUUCUAGCAAAAGGGAUUAGAAAAUUAUUUGUUCUUUAUUUGCUGAUUUAAGUUAAACAGGUCAAUGUAUAUGCUUAGGUUAU